UACGUAGGGUGCGAGCGUUGUCCGGAAUUAUUGGGCGUAAAGGGCUCGUAGGCGGUUUGUCGCGUCGGGAGUGAAAACCAGGUGCUUAACACUUGGCUUGCUUUCGAUACGGGCAGACUAGAGGUAUGCAGGGGAGAACGGAAUUCCUGGUGUAGCGGUGAAAUGCGCAGAUAUCAGGAGGAACACCGGUGGCGAAGGCGGUUCUCUGGGCAUGACCUGACGCUGAGGAGCGAAAGUGUGGGGAGCGAACAGG
rnacentral:rRNA from 1 species